CAUUCACAUCAUCCAGGAACAUAUAAUUAGCUACAAAGAUGAAGCGUUCCCUUUUUCCAACUUCUUGAGCCUGGAGCUCCUGUAAAAGACAGGAAACGAUCAUUAUCAUGGAUGUGAAUUCAGAAUGAAAGCAAUAUCGUCAAACAUAUAACAGCUAGGAAAAGAACUUGAACAAAAUAAGAAACAAAUACACAAGCAGCUAGGGGUCGAUCUAAUGCCAGCAAGCUCUAAGAAGACUCCAAGAAAUUGAUGGCUCACAAUACAAUCAUGCUUUUGACAACAAAUACUACUAGAAUUAAGGCGCGGAACAUAUUCUAAGCAGUGUUAACAUCAUGGCAGUAACAAUUAACAGUAGCAGCUAGCAGGACAUCAAUCAAGCACAACAAAAGUACAACACCACACUUGGGAUCUCGGAGCAAGAAAAAGAUCAUGUUGCUUAGGAGCUACCACAAAUGAUACGGAUCAAGGGCAAAAACAAGUUGGUAUGAUAUCAUUCAUUCAUUCAUUCUCAUCACGAUCAUACAUUGAAUUCAUUAAAGGUUACAGAUUCAUUUUUUGACAUAGCAUUGGAAAAUCACAAGAAUAGUAUAUGAACUAAAGUGUCCAGAUAAGUAGAUAACACACGGAGGUCACAAUCACAUAGCAAAGGAAGAGUGGGACAGACCGAGGACUUACCCUCUGGACAAAUCAAAGACUUCACGCUUCCUCUUCCUCGGUGGACAAAUCAAUGACUUCACUUCCUCUUCCUCAUGCACCAACAGGAAGACCAUCUCAAACACCUUGGUGCCAACAAGAAACU
rnacentral:lncRNA from 1 species